AUCAGAAAUUUAUUUCUCAUAGUCUGAGAGGAGAGAUAUGGGGUUCACAACAUAAAAAUCCAGGGUUAAUUGCUUAGAAAGCCUCCAAAAUUGAUGAAAUUAAUGUUCUAAAGCAAGCAUUUGAAAUAAAUUUUGAGUUAGUACCAUAUUUUGUGUACUACAAAUAGCACACAAAUUUGGUUAAGAUAUAAUAUGGCCCAGUGAGAAACACUGGGCAGGAAGGGAGAGGUGAAAGAGACAGAGAGUUCUAGAAAUCAUGAGUGUAAAACCAUAUGGAUGAAAUUUUAUGAAUUUCUAUAACUUUUGAGAUUUUAAUAAGGAGCUAAUAUGGUGAGCUGUCAAGUUCCUAGAGAAAAAAAAUGAGACUAUGAUUCAGAAUUGACCCAGACACACUGACACAGACAGGUACAAAUCAGAGCUGGAUUCUGGUGCUUCCAAUGUGUGUUUCCCGCAGGGAAGUCUGUGCCAAUGUUAUGGCACAUUCUUACAUUGACUUUCUGGUGGCCUCACACCUUGUUUGAAGUUGUUUUU